AUGCAGACACUCCAUUUUUCCGACAAGACACACAGCAAGAUAUUCCACAUACCUUCCCUUUGCCUCGCACUUGUGCUGCUGAUCUGCCUGGUCUCUCCGGGCAGUUCGUGCACGGAGACGGAGAAGGGCUCCCUUCUACAGUUCCUCGCCGGGCUCUCACAAGACGGUGGCCUCCCUGCGACAUGGCGGAAUGGCACGGAUUGCUGCAAGUGGGAAGGGAUCACCUGCAGGCAAGAUGGGACGGUCACCGCUGUCUUCCUGCCUUCGAAGGGCCUCCAGGGGCACAUCUCACAGUCCCUUGGGGUCCUCACCGGGCUGCAGUACCUUAAUCUCUCCCACAACUCGCUGUCCGGUGGACUGCCACCGGAGUUGAUGUCGUCCAGCAGCAUUACUAUCCUUGAUGUCAGCUUUAACCAGCUCAAUGGAACGCUCCAGGAGCUGCCAUCUUCAACGCCUGCCCAGCCUCUACAGGUACUGAACAUCUCCAGCAACUCAUUUACAGGACAGUUUCCAUCCACCACAUGGAAAGCAAUGGCAAAUUUGAUCGCACUCAAUGCCAGUAAGAACAGAUUUACUGGGCAGAUACCAACUCAUUUCUGUAACAGCUCGCCGUCCUUCACUGUGCUUGAACUGUCUUUCAACAAAUUCAGUGGCAGCAUCCCCCCAAGUCUUGGUAAUUGCUCCAAGCUGAGAGAGCUCAGGGCUGGAUACAACAACCUCAGUGGAGCUAUUGAUGGUACACACAUAACCAACCUCAGAAAUCUUGUAGUCCUUCAUCUUGGAUGGAACAACUUCAGUGGCAAGAUUCCAGUUUCUAUAGGACAGCUCAAGAAAUUGGAGGAGCUCCAUUUGGCUUACAACAACAUGUCAGGGGAACUGCCAUCUGCUCUGAGCAACUGCACAAAUCUCAUAACAAUUGACCUCAAGAGCAAUCACUUCAGUGGAAAACUUACCAAGGUCAAUUUCUCCAACCUGCCCAAUCUAAGAAUUUUAGACCUCUGGUUAAACAACUUCACCGGUGAAGUUCCAGAAAGCAUAUACUCGUGCAGUAAUCUGAUUGCACUGCGGCUAUCUAGCAACAACUUACACGGACAGCUCUCAUCGAGAAUAGGUAAUCUGAAGUACCUCUCCUUCUUGUCACUCGGUAAAAACAAUUUCACAAACAUUACAAAUGCACUUCAGAUCCUUAAGAGCAGCAAGAACCUGACAACACUGCUUAUGGGGCACAACUUUAGGGGAGAGAUACUCUCACAGGAUGAAACAAUUGAUGGUUUUGGAAGUCUUCAGGUUCUCGAUAUACAAGGUUGCAAUUUUUCUGGGAGAAUACCUGUGUGGAUAUCAAGGGCUGUAAACUUGCAGAUGCUAUUUUUAUGUGGCAAUCGACUCACUGGGUCAAUACCAGGCUGGAUCAGCUCUCUAAGUCAUCUCUUCUAUAUGGAUGUGUCAAGCAACAGUCUUACAGGAGAAAUCCCAUUAACCUUAACCGAGAUGCCAGUGCUAAAAUCAACUGAUAACGCAACUCAUUUGGACCCAACGGUCUUUGAGCUGCCUGUUUAUAAUGGUCCAGCACUUCAAUACCGUGUGGUUACAUCUUUCCCAGCAGUGUUGAAUCUAAGCAAUAACAAUUUCACAGGUGUGAUUCCCACACAGAUUGGUCAGCUGAAAGUGCUUGCUGUACUUGACUUCAGCUUCAACAAGUUAUCCGGACAGAUCCCACAAUCGGUCUGCAACCUCGCAAACUUGCAGGUACUAGACUUGUCCAGCAACAAUCUCACAGGUGCUAUUCCAGCUGCAUUGAACACCCUGCACUUCCUUUCAGCAUUCAGUAUUUCAAACAAUGACCUAGAAGGGCCUAUUCCAUCUGGAGGCCAGUUUGAUACAUUUCAGAAUUCUAGUUUCAGUGGGAACCCAAAGCUGUGUGUCUCUAUGCUAACCCACAAAUGUGAUUCAGCUUCGAUACCUCCACCAUCCACAAAAGAGACCACAAAACCACGAUAUAAGAAGUCUGUUUUUGUAAUUGCAUUUGGUGUGUUCUUUGGAGGCAUCGCUGUUCUUUUGUUGCUGGGGCGGCUCAUUGUAUUUAUCAGGAUAAAUGGCAUUAGAAUAAGAAAUAGAAGGGAGAAUAAUGGAGAUAUUGAAGCAACUUCGUUCUACUCCAGUUCAGAGCAAACAUUAGUGGUGAUGCGGAUGCCGCAAGGGAAGACAGAAGGAACCAAGCUCAAAUUCGCUGACAUUUUGAAAGCCACAAACAACUUUGACAAGGAGAAUAUCAUUGGAUGCGGAGGUUAUGGAUUAGUCUACAAGGCAGAGCUACCUGAUGGAUCCAAGCUGGCAAUAAAAAAGCUCAACAGUGAAAUGUGUCUGAUGGAAAGGGAGUUCAGUGCAGAGGUUGAUGCACUCUCCAUGGCACAACAUGAUAAUCUUGUACCACUGUGGGGUUAUUGCAUCCAGGGAAACUCGAGGUUCCUUGUAUAUUCCUACAUGGAGAAUGGUAGCCUGGAUGAUUGGCUUCAUAACAGGUAUGAUGAUGCCAGCUCAUUUCUUGACUGGCCGACUCGGCUAAAGAUCGCAAAAGGGGCAAGCCUGGGCCUUUCUUAUAUCCAUGACGUCUGCAAGCCUCAGAUUGUCCACCGUGACAUCAAAUCCAGUAACAUCCUACUGGACAAAGAAUUUAAAGCUUAUGUUGCAGAUUUCGGGCUAGCCAGAUUGAUCCUUCCCGACAAAACUCAUGUUACAACUGAGUUGGUCGGCACUAUGGGUUAUAUCCCUCCCGAGUACGGGCAAGCAUGGGUUGCUACCUUGAGAGGUGAUAUGUACAGUUUUGGAGUAGUCUUGCUUGAGCUGCUCACCGGAAAGAGACCUGUUACAGUCCUGUCUACAUCAAAAGAACUUGUCCCAUGGGUUCUACAGAUGAGGUCCGAGUGUAAGCAGACUGAAGUCCUGGAUCCAACACUUCGAGGAAGAGGCUAUGAAGAGCAAAUGCUGGAAGUUCUUGAAACCGCUUGCAAGUGUGUUGAUAACAAUCAAUUCAGAAGGCCAGCUAUCACAGAAGUAGUCUCCUCCCUGUCCAGUAUAGAAGCUGCCCCAUAG
rnacentral:rRNA from 1 species